rnacentral:rRNA from 1 species
GAGGAACGCUGGCGGCGUGCCUAAUACAUGCAAGUCGAGCGAACGGACGAGAAGCUUGCUUCUCUGAUGUUAGCGGCGGACGGGUGAGUAACACGUGGAUAACCUACCUAUAAGACUGGGAUAACUUCGGGAAACCGGAGCUAAUACCGGAUGAUAUUUUGAACCGCAUGGUUCAAAAGUGAAAGACGGUCUUGCUGUCACUUAUAGAUGUAUCCGCGCUGCAUUAGCUAGUUGGUAAGGUAACGGCUUACCAAGGCAACGAUGCAUAGCCGACCUGAGAGGGUGAUCGGCCACACUGGAACUGAGACACGGCCCAGACUCCUACGGGAGGCAGCAGUAGGGAAUCUUCCGCAAUGGGCGAAAGCCUGACGGAGCAACGCCGCGUGAGUGAUGAAGGUCUUCGGAUCGUAAAACUCUGUUAUUAGGGAAGAACAUAUGUGUAAGUAACUGUGCACAUCUUGACGGUACCUAAUCAGAAAGCCACGGCUAACUACGUG